rnacentral:tRNA from 1 species
GCCGAGGUGGUGAAAUUGGCAGACACGCUACCUUGAGGUGGUAGUGGGAGUAAAAUCCCUUGCAGGUUCAACUCCUGUCCCCGGCA